CCUGAAGUCCGGGCCCCUCUGGCGAGAGCUGUCGGUUCUCUCGCGAUGUCGGACACGAUCC
rfam:Sphingopyxis bauzanensis strain DSM 22271 NODE_1_length_1336319_cov_55.7391, whole genome shotgun sequence.